AUGUCCGGUUCCUUUGGGGGAUGGAUCCUAAAGAGUUCACCUAUCCCAAUAACAAAGAAACCAGACUUAAAUGAUCAUGUAUUAAGAGCUAAAUUAGCUAAAGGGAUGGGACACAAUUAUUAUGGGCCCGCAUGGCCCAACGAUCUUUUAUAUAUUUUUCCAGUAGUAAUUCUAGGUACUAUUGCAUGUAAUGUAGGUUUAGCGGUUCUCGAGCCAUCAAUGAUUGGUGAACCCGCAGAUCCGUUUGCAACUCCUCUGGAAAUAUUACCCGAGUGGUACUUCUUUCCCGUGUUUCAAAUACUCCGUACGGUACCCAAUAAGUUAUUGGGCAUUCUUUUAAUCGUUUCUGUGCCAACAGGCUUAUUAACAAUACCUUUUCUAGAGAAUGUCAAUAAAUUCCAAAAUCCAUUUCGCCGCCUAGUAGCUAUGACCUUUUUAAUCGGUACUGUAGUAGCUCUUUGGUUAGGUAUUGGAGCAACAUUACCCAUUGAUAAAUCAUUAACUUUAGGUCUUUCUUAG
rnacentral:rRNA from 1 species